rnacentral:rRNA from 1 species
UGGGGAAUUUUGGACAAUGGGCGAAAGCCUGAUCCAGCAAUGCCGCGUGUGUGAAGAAGGCCUUCGGGUUGUAAAGCACUUUUGUCCGGAAAGAAAUCCUUGGCUCUAAUACAGUCGGGGGAUGACGGUACCGGAAGAAUAAGCACCGGCUAACUACGUGCCAGCAGCCGCGGUAAUACGUAGGGUGCAAGCGUUAAUCGGAAUUACUGGGCGUAAAGCGUGCGCAGGCGGUUUGCUAAGACCGAUGUGAAAUCCCCGGGCUCAACCUGGGAACUGCAUUGGUGACUGGCAGGCUAGAGUAUGGCAGAGGGGGGUAGAAUUCCACGUGUAGCAGUGAAAUGCGUAGAGAUGUGGAGGAAUACCGAUGGCGAAGGCAGCCCCCUGGGCCAAAUACUGACGCUCAUGCACGAAAGCGUGGGGAGCAAAACAGGAUUAGAUACCCUGGUAGUCCACGCCCUAAAACGAUGUCAACUAGUUGUUGGGGAUUCAUUUCCUUAGUAACGUAGCUAACGCGUGAAGUUGACCGCCUGGGGAGUACGGUCGCAAGAUUAAAACUCAAAGAAUUG